rnacentral:rRNA from 1 species
UACGUAGGUGGCAAGCGUUGUCCGGAUUUAUUGGGUUUAAAGGGUGCGUAGGUGGCCCUGUAAGUCAGUGGUGAAAUAUCUCAGCUUAACUGAGAGGGUGCCAUUGAUACUGCAGGGCUUGAGUACAGAUGAGGUAGGCGGAAUUGACGGUGUAGCGGUGAAAUGCAUAGAUAUCGUCAAGAACACCGAUAGCGAAGGCAGCUUACCAAGCUGUAGCUGACACUGAGGCACGAAAGUGUGGGGAGUAAACAGG